GUUACUUUUUCUUUUUGUUUGACCAAACUCAAGUCCCCUUUCUAAAACUGCAGCCAAGCAGUACUUGCUACUGGAAUAAUCCCAUGAAUGAAUUCUUUGUUGUGGUCAACUCUUUCUUGUCUCUCUACUAGGAUUCAUGCACCAAGCCCAGAGUUAGAAUUUUGUGUCAGGCUGCUAGUAAAUCAGGCUCUACUCUGUCCAAUAGCAUGUUGAAUGGCACCUGCAGUUAAUUGCACGGACAUAUGGAUUUUGGUUCAUUUUGUACGUAUGUUUGUUUGUUCAUGCUUACGACUUUGGCUAAAACACGUUGGAUGCCCAAUUCCUAUGGUGAACCUUUUGGUUCAAGCAAGCAAACUGAUGUUCCCUUUCUAUGACUGAAGCCAAGCUGUACCUACUACUGGCAUAAUAUGAUGGAUUCAUUCUUUGUUUGUGGUCAACUCUUGUCUGUCUACUAGCAUUUGUGCGAGAACCUGAAUGUUGUGUAGGCUGCUGUGCUUUACUACCAGUAAACUAGUUUGUACUCUCUCCAACUGCAAGUUGGAUAGCCUUGCAAUUAAUUGUACAGACAUGCAUAUGAUUUUUGGUUCAAUUUGUAUGUAUGUAUAUGCUUAAGACUUUGACUAAAACUAGUUGGAUGUUCAGUUCCCCAUGAAGGUGACCAAUCCCUAGCAGUGCCCAUUGGUCCUUCCUGUUAAUUUCACCUCCUGUGAUUUUAAUCUUUGUUUCUUGCUUUCCACAACGACCAAGUUCUCUUAACUGCGGGACAUCUGAGUUCGUCGUGGUGAUGGCAGCUGACACGGAGCCGCUCGAAAUCUCCUCGACCUCCCGUCAUGUUUCUUGCGGACGGAAAGCUGUCCAGAUGACCAAGCCCAAGGAGGAAGCAGCUGCUCAUCACUGAGGACAAGUAACUCCAGCAGGUGAAGUAUGAAGUGUGAAGCCAUGAAGCCUAUCAGCAAGAGUAGCAUAUUAUGUAUUGUAAUAUCAAGCAAAGUGUAAUAUUAGUCAGAGUAGCAUAUUAUGUAUUGUAAUAUUUAGUGUUGUUUUGGAUGAAUUUCAUUUGCUCUAUAAUCUGUUUGAAAUAUUGACUGUGUAUAAUUUCCAUACCUAUGAAAUGGAAACCGGACCAAGGGGACCCACUUAUGAAAAUUGGUUGACAAAUUUUGAAA